CAGAACAUCACUACCCUAACCCCUUGUCUUGCUUGGUUACCUCUGACAUCUCUAUCACCCUCCUUCUCCUAGACCAAAAAAUCCCCUUGCUUAUCCCACGCCUCUUCCUCAAGCCAUAGGAGAUCAGCGGCAGUUUCCUCUUCUUCCGAUAGGAUCAGUGAACGGCAAGGCAGGAAGAAGCCAAGGUGGCCAUGGCGAGCUAUCAGCGCCCUCUCCAUCGGAGCAACAGCGUGGUGGUGGUGGUCCAACGUCAAGCAGCCUCCUUUUUCACCUCGUCUUUGGCAGCAGCGCGAGAACAGAGCAGGAGCUCAUGGUGGCGUCUUCUUCCCGGGGCCAGUGAGAGGUAACGAAGCUCGGGUCUCCGGGAACCCCUUGGCAACAACCUUGAAGCUGAUCAACGCGGGAAGGUGUCGACGGCAACAACGGACGGAGCUACUCGGCGUCUGCCUUCAUCUUCUCAACGUCAGCAGUACCUCCGGUGAGCAGUGGAGCUCCGACAACCUUGGACGGCGUAGCCCAACUCCGGCUGUGGUAGUGAGGCAGCGGGCGGAUGGACGGGUGGAGAGCUUGCCGUGGCACCACCUGCGGGUUCGGUCGCAUGAAGAAACGAAGAAGAAGAUGGCAGUUAGUUUCCGGUAGCUUGGUUUUUGUGUUGAGCCUAGCUAUGUUGGCGUUGGUUUUGGUUGGAUAAGCAAAUGAGGUCCCGAGUAGUGGCGAGC